CCCACCCUGCCGCUGCUGCGGAGCGGAACGAGCUUCCUCUUCCUUCUAAGAUUCAACAACUACUCAUUGAGCAUUUAACCAGUUUCUGCCACUUGCCAGUUGUGCCUCAGUUUCCUCAUCUGUAAACAAGGGUGACAAUUGUUAGAUCUGCCAUGCAUGAUGUUGCGAAGAUUCAAUGAGCUGAUACUGUAGCUGCUUAGAAGAAGCCCCGGUCAACACAGGGCUGUGGUGAAGAUUCAAUGAACUGAUACUGUAGCUGCUUAGAAGAAGCCAGGUCAACAUGGGGCUGUCACGGAGAUUCAAUGAGCUGAUACUGUAGCUGCUUAGAGGAAGCCCAGGUCAACAUGGGGCUGUGGUGAAGAUUCAAUGAGCUGAUACUGUAACGGCUUAGAAGAAGCCAGGUCAACAUGGGGCUGUCAUGGAGACUCAAUAAGCUGAUACUGUAGCUGCUUAGAAGAAGUCCAGCUCAACAUGGGGCACAUGCGCUGUCAGCCUCUAUGACCACUUGCGGCAUCCAAAGGCCCUGUGCCACAAGGUCAGAGCAUGGGAUGUCAUGGGACAGAAUUCCAAGCAUUAAUCUGACCUGGUGAGGCUUCUCCAGCAGGAGGAGAAAUGGAACCCGAUAUGAGCAGCUGUUGGGGAAAAAAGCCCAAGAUCACUUUCAACAAUGCAGUUGUGGAGCACAGGUCAAGGCUUGGAAGAAUGGAGGAUGCCACUACCUGAGUAACUAAGGAAUGUUUCCUCAUUUGUGGGGUGGUCACGGUGAAAGUACCUUUGGGUUGUUGUGGGUUAGGAGAACCUAACUGCUGCAGCUGUCACAUCUGCUACCCAGAAAGGGCUCUGAAGAGUUGCUACUGAAGCCCCUGAUGAUACUGUUCAUCCAUCAUACCCUGCAACGUCGUUAUUUUAAUAUUGUAAGCUAUUAAUGCAGUAAAAUACUUUAUUCAAGUAUUGAAAUCAUCUAAGCUUCCUAUUCCCUAGAGAUGCAUGAAUAACAGAGCUCUGA
rnacentral:lncRNA from 10 species